UUAAAUACAGUGCUUUUGGAGAAUAGAUCUAAUGUUAUAAGAUACAGUGCUUGUGGAGUUGAGGUAAAUACAAAGAUUCUUUCAUUAUCAACCAAAACCAAAUAGAUCUAGCUUCAAUAGAAGUUUGUGUCCACUAUGAAUGAGUUUUCAGGGGAAGAGGCACAAGAAAACAAAUUCGGAGAGGCACAAUGAAUGUAGCUUAAGAGAUGUGAGAUUGGC
rnacentral:lncRNA from 1 species